UGUUUCAAUUCACUGUUAAAUAGCAAUAUUUAUAGCAGUAUUGUGCAUAAUCCACAUCAACUACAGGGUUUUUUUCAGGGUUUUUUGCGAUUGCUGUUUUGCGAUUAUUUAUUUUAUAAAACGCUGGGUUAUCGUUAACGUGUGCUCAUUAUAUUAAGCUGUAAAAAAACACUGAAAAACUUUUAGGCCGUGUGGUGCGAAAUCUGAACUUGGGCCAUCAAGCCACGAGUGUGUUUAUCUGAAAAUCGGACGGAUGCACAAUAUUUUAUGAUCUGUAAUCACAGAUAGACAUACAGUAUAUAAAGUAAGAGGAGGAGAUCGAUUUUAUCGGUGGAAAAAUGAAUCAUGUGGUGUAAUAACGUUUGGCGAUGUGAUUUUAUUACCAGUUAGCCACAGAUAUUAUUUAAACUGCGUGAUUAAACUAUUGUUGCUGUCGUAUGACAGUGGUAAUAUCAUGGUUAUGGUUUUACUAAAAUUAAUAUGAUUUUUUCCUAAAUAAAAUCCAGCUAAGACCAGCAUAAGCUGGUUCAAGGUGGCAGUAGCUGGUUUAAGCUGGUCCAACCAGCCAAAUCCAGCUAGAACACAAACACAGCUAGACCAGCUUGCUACACCAGCUAAAACUAAACUGGGAGACCAGCUUUUGCUGGUCUUUACGAAUUUUUCAGUAGGGAUAAGAAAGAAAACAAAUGACUGACAAGCAGAGAACAUGUUAUUCAGAAACAAGUCUGGGUUUUAAUCUGCCAGGACACGACAAGCAGACGGACAGCUGUAGGGCUGUUUCUGACCAUCAGUCAGCAAAAUUCAUGACGUCAAAAGCGACCACCACCACAGAUUCUCAGCAGUUGUUCUCAGGUAAGAGUGAAAGCGAGAGGUCAACCUGCCAUGAACUCCACUGAUUGCUUGUUAAAAAUUGGAGGUACGCCAACAUUAAUAUUUAUUGUUUUUAAUAUUUCUUUUUGUUUAUUUAUUUGAUAGUUAGCCGUAGUGUUUAAAUGCACUAAUAGCACUGUUAAAUAGCAAUAUUUAUAGCAGUAUUGUGCCUAAUUCAAGACACAUCAACUACAACUGCUGGGUUAAAAUGACCCACUGCUGGGUGAAUGCUGAGUGAAUGAAAAACUGAGUGAAUGCGAUUUUAAAAUGAAGGCACUUUAAGGCCAUGUCAGGGUUUUUCCUGGGUCAAAAUUGGUCUUCAGUGGUGGCUUACUGACAUGGUCAUCCACACACAGCAAAGAGUACCCUAGUACCCAAUGAUCCACACGCCCAAUAUUGACAAUAAAUGUUACAUUGAAAGGGGUGGUUCAAUGGUAUGUCAUGCAUUCUGACUUAUUAACACAGUUAUAGAGUUGUUUCCUCGUGCUAAACGUAGGCAAAGUGUCAAAAAAGCAGUUGGGCGUGUUACAGAGUAUUUCCGUGCCAAAUGCACUUCGCCAGGGUUCGUACAAGUUUCGGAAAGUUUUUUCGAUUACGGGUCCAGCUGACGUUUCAGGGGUUUCUAUACGUAUCACUUAUUUUUAUGGGCACUUUCCCCAGAAAACCCCGCCCACCUGUCAAUCAGCGGGAGACGCUAGAACUUACAAACAUCACAUCACACGACAGCUUUGUUUAAUUUCAAAACUCAACAAUGGCACGAAAGAAAAAGUGUGUUUUUGGAUGUAAGGAGAAUAAAGUCAGCCUUAUGAAAACAAUGGAUAUAGUUUAUUAUCCGGGGUAGCAGCGGAGUUUUGCGUG